AAGAUGAGUAUGACUUCCUUGUCCAGAUGUGCAGAUUAUCAGGAAAGCUCUUAAAGGGAGGUGAGCCAGAUUUGAUGACUGUAGCAAAAAUGGUUCUCCAAGACUGGCAGAGAGGUAAGUUGCCCUUUUUUGUGCCCCCACCAGAGCAGCAAGACGGGGGCGAGGAGCUUGAGAAAACCGAUAAACCUUUUGCACCCGAAGACGCAACGAUAGUAAGCACAGACCGGGAAUCAGCAGCAAUGCAAGCCAUUGCGGAUAUCAUCUCAUCACAACAGUUGAAGCAUGUUCCUGCUCAGAAGGACCUUUUUGAUGCUGCUGAGCACGCAAAUGAAAAUCCAGGGCUAGAAACGUAGGUUUUUACCAGAGCAGUCACAUCAGUUUUUGCCGGCAAGAAACCCUGUAAAAUCUAGAGACCUAAAUAAGGAAGCCAGAACGUUUUUCUGUUUUAUUUCAUGUAUGCUGUGUUUUCGAUGAAGUUUCCGGUGAACGAGGAGUUAAC
rnacentral:misc_RNA from 1 species